rnacentral:rRNA from 1 species
CCUACGGGAGGCAGCAGUGGGGAAUAUUGCACAAUGGGCGCAAGCCUGAUGCAGCCAUGCCGCGUGUAUGAAGAAGGCCUUCGGGUUGUAAAGUACUUUCAGCGGGGAGGAAGGGAGUAAAGUUAAUACCUUUGCUCAUUGACGUUACCCGCAGAAGAAGCACCGGCUAACUCCGUGCCAGCAGCCGCGGUAAUACGGAGGGUGCAAGCGUUAAUCGGAAUUACUGGGCGUAAAGCGCACGCAGGCGGUUUGUUAAGUCAGAUGUAAAACCCCCGGGCACAACCUGGGAACUGCAUCUGAUACUGGCAAGCUUGAGUCUCGUAGAGGGGGGUAGAAUCCCAGGUGUAGCGGUAAAAUGCGUAGAGAUCUGGAGGAAUACCGGUGGCGAAGGCGGCCCCCUGAA